AUGGGCAACGAAUACUACUACUUGUUCAAGAGUAACUUCAUUUUUCAAAAUUUCAAACGUCAAAUAAUUUCAGUUGUUCUGAUUGGAAACCCAGGCGUCGGAAAGUCGAAUCUUCUGUCUCGUUUCACACGAAAUGAAUUCAACUUGAAAUCAAAACCGACAAUCGGAGUAGAAUUCGCAACGAAAAUCAUCUCGGUGAGUCAAACUCACAAAUUCAUUGAAUAGUUUAUUUUAUAGGUAGAAGGCAAGGCAGUGAAGGUGCAAAUUUGGGAUACGGCUGGAAUGGAACGUUUUCGUUGUGGUGCUUCUUCUUACUAUCGUGGAGCUCUCGGAGCUCUCCUAGUCUAUGACAUCUCUAAGCAUAAGACAUAUGAAAGUGUUGAGCAAUGGUUGAAGGUGCUUCGUGAUCACGCUAACGAGGAUAUUGUGAUUACGCUGGUUGGUAAUAAGAGCGACUUGAGUCAUGCAGUUCCAACAGACGAGGCCAAAAUCUACGAUAUUUUGUGAGCCAAUGAGCCACUUUCCAGAAACAUCUGCCCUCGACAACACCAACGUUGAAGCAGCUUUCACAAAUAUCGUAACGGAGAUCUACAAACUAGUAUCGGAAAAAUAUAAAGAUCACAGUGGUACGAUCAUUCCUUCGACAGCGUCCAAUACACCAAAGAACCAGUGUUGCUUUCCAUAA